UACGGGGGGAGCAAGCGUUGUUCGGAUUUACUGGGCGUAAAGGGCGCGUAGGCGGUCAGCACAAGUCAGUUGUGAAAUCUCCGGGCUUAACUCGGAAAGGUCAACUGAUACUGUGCGACUAGAGUGCGGAAGGGGCAACUGGAAUUCUCGGUGUAGCGGUGAAAUGCGUAGAUAUCGAGAGGAACACCUGCGGCGAAGGCGGGUUGCUGGGCUGACACUGACGCUGACUGUGCGAAAGCUAGGGGAGCGAACGGG
rnacentral:rRNA from 1 species